GGUCUGACCUGCCCAAUGAURAGUUUAAUGGCCGCGGURUUUUGACYGUGCAAAGGUAGCAUAAUCAUUAGUUUUUUAAUUGRAARCUUGUAUGAAAGGUUUGAUGAARAARAUUCUGUCUCUGUAAAAAUUUGUUAGAAUUUUAUUUUUAGGUAAAAARGCYUAGAUAARUAUAGAAGACGAGAAGACCYUAUAGAGUUUUAUAURRAAUUUUUAGGUAAGAUUUAUGGYAARRUAARGUUUUAGUAAARAUUUUUUAUUUUAUUGGGGUGAUAGAAAAAUURAAUGAACUUUUUUUUAAUAUUUACAUUUAUUUAUGAAYAAUUGAUCCUGGCUUUCAGAUUAAAAGAUUAAAUUACCUUAGGGAUAACAGCGUAAUUUUUUUUAGAGUUCUUAUCGAAAAGAAAGAUUGCGACCUCGAUGUUGGAUUAAAAUUUAAARUUGGCGUAGAAGCURAAAGUUGUUAGGUCUGUUCGACCUUUAAAAUUUUACA
rnacentral:rRNA from 1 species